AACGGGUGAACCCUUUUUUGAAAUUUAACACCACCACGACCCUUCCCUUACUAGCUGCAGUCUCCCAGGGCAGUACCCGACAGUCUGUUAUUAAAUGUUAACCGAGCCGCACGCACACUCCGGUUAGGCAGUCUGUUAGCCGCGUAAAUUUCGAAAUUAUGUCUACUUUAUAAUUUGGUCGACAACGAGCAAACUUUGAACCAUCAGUUAUCAGCGGUCCUGUUAAAAGUAAACGGAACCUCAUUUACAGCCGUCAAUUCCUGGGGGUCCUGCUGAAAUACAACAUUUCUCAUUAUUGGAUUAAGACAGUUGUGGUUAUAGAAACUUGAAUAAUGGCAACCGAUUCUUACAAUUUUCACUGACUGGCAACAUAUCUUCUGUUUUUAAUUUAAUAAUCGUUCGUGCGACCAAUUUUUGUGACAUGCGCUGAGUGGCUACAAGUCAUCUUUUUUUAAUUAGAAUAGUCGUGUUUGGAAGUAUUUAUUUAUAGCAACCAAUCUUAUAGCUGCUCAUUUCAACUAUUGUAGUUAUCAAAUGGAGUAUUUGCUGUCAAUUCAUAAUCUGGAAUAAUUAAGAAAUUACAAAUUAUACCGCACUAUCAACACUAAACAAUUAAAGAAUAACAUAAAAAUAAGUUACAGUGGUUACAGACAAAAAAAUCAUUAUAAAGUUAUACAUUAUAAUGCGAAAUAAAUUGGAUACUCAACGUUUCUGGGCUCAUAGAAGUUAUUUAAGUACACACUUAUGUUGGUCUGUUAUUAAAUAAUACUAUCUAUAAUAUAAUCGUUUUACUUUUGGUGUGUACAUGCAUAUAAUAAAUAUACAUAUAGACACUGGAUUAAAAGUGGACGCCUUGCAAAGAGCUAGUGGCCGUCUUUGUUAAAUCAACCGAUUUAUGGAGCGCUUUCCAUGCAGCUUAUAACAAUUAAAAAACUGGGAAAGCUACCUAUCCCUAAGAAAAGAUGCUUGGAAUUGGGAAUACCACUCAAAAAAUUCUUCGAUGCGAAUUUUAGAUGCAUUUAGCAAUUAUAUGUUUUGGUUAAUUUGACACAUUUUGUUUAUUCAUGCGAUUUGUACGUCUUAAUUUCAUAGUAUAUUAUAAUAAUAUAGUAUCAUAACUUACUAGAUCUAUGAACUUGUCAACAUUUAUUGUGUUUUAAAUAAUAACAUUGAUAUUAAAUAUCCAUAAUCAAUGUGAAUACCAAGAUGGAGUUUUGCUCAAGUGACAAGUCUAUAAAACCUAUAACCUUAAUUAUAAAAUGUAUGCACAUCAAAUAUCAAAAUUAAAGUAUUAUGUCUUUGUUCUGAGAAACUUAUAAAUGUGUAGUUUUGUGUUUUAAUAUAUUGGUAUCUGAAUUCAAAGAAAAAAUAUAAAAUUUUUUAUGAAAAAAUUGAAUCUUCAAUCAUCAUUUACUGA